UGCAUAUUGACCACCGGACACCGGAUGUUGGCCUACCCUAUUAGGCCAGCGCGCACGUCUAUCAUUGUGGCCUCUUUAAUGCUUGCAAUCCUGCAUGCAAGACUGGGGCUGUAAUGGUAUGACAGAGGAGUGACAGGUAUGCGACCUGUCACCGGGUGAGUCAACAAUGAAAAAUAAGUAUUAACUGAACUAUGCAGAGUUGAUUACCUUAUGCUAUAUUAUUAGAAACUUAAAAAUAGUGUAAAAAUCAUUGAAAUCGAACUUAAAUCUAGUGGACGAAACUUCUACAUAUCUACAACCAGAAUCGGUAACCUAAAUUGUGCCUCGUUGCCCCACUUCAUUGCUACACAAAGGACAGUUUCCUACUAUCAAAACCGGAUUACCACUAAUUUGCUUUGAACGGACACAAUGUUACUCAAAGGGAACUAAACGUAAGUAAACAUGAGAAUUGAAAUUCAUAUGCACACUUCCCACAGGGGUUCACAAACUUAUCGUGGCGUACCACACGCCCUAAACUAUAUUUAUUUUAAGAAAUUAAAAUGAUACUAAAAUGAAUUUAUACGUUCCAACUAGGAAAAUUAUAUUCUCCUUUGCAACCACAACUGGAUCG